UACGGGGGGGGGCAAGCGUUGUUCGGAAUUACUGGGCGUAAAGGGCUCGUAGGUGGCCAACUAAGUCAGACGUGAAAUCCCUCAGCUUAACUGGGGAACUGCGUCUGAUACUGGAUGGCUUGAGAUUGGGAGAGGGAUGCGGAAUUCCAGGUGUAGCGGUGAAAUGCGUAGAUAUCUGGAGGAACACCUGUGGCGAAGGCGGCCCCCCUGGUUGGAUACUGACGCUGAGGCGCGAAAGCGUGGGGAGCAAACAGG
rnacentral:rRNA from 1 species